rnacentral:rRNA from 1 species
AAUGAACGUUGGCGGCGUGGAUUAGGCAUGCAAGUCGUGCGAGAAGCUCCUUCGGGAGUGGACAGCGGCGGAAGGGAGAGGAAUACGUAGAAAUCUACCCUCGGGUCUGGGAUAGCGUCGGGAAACUGGCGGUAAUACCAGAUAACGUCUUCGGACCAAAGGUGUGACUCCGCCGGAGGAUGAGUCUACGUCCUAUUAGCUAGUUGGUGAGGUAAUGGCUCACCAAGGCAACGAUGGGUAGCGGGUGUGAGAGCAUGACCCGCCUCACUGGGACUGAGACACUGCCCAGACACCUACGGGUGGCUGCAGUCGAGAAUCUUUGUCAAUGGACGAAAGUCUGAACAAGCGACGCCGCGUGCGGGAUGAAGGCCCUCGGGUUGUAAACCGCUGUCGUAGGGGAACAAAUGCAUUGGGGUACUCCCCUUUACUUGAGUGAUCCUAGGAGGAAGGACGGGCUAAGUUCGUG